GGGAACUUAGAUUUGCCCGAAUGGAAGAAGAGGACCCUUGGAUGGAGACUGAAUCUGUUAAGGAACAAGAGGGUUGGCUGCAGAGAAGAAGGAGGGACUGGUGGAGACAAUCACAGCUCAGGGGAAGAGCCAAAACAGAGGAGGAGAUGAGUUUGACUGCACUGAAGAAACAGAGAAAGAAGAACAGAGCGUCUAAAGGGGAAAUGGUAAAUGUGGAUGAUGUGAAUCUCUCUCUGCCUUCCUUAAAUAAUCUUUAACAAACUAAAAACUAAAAUCCUGAAAUGAGGAGUGUGACAGGACUAAAAUACAAAGAAGUUCAGUUCAAUUUAGUCGCUCAGUCAUGUUUGACUCUUUGUGACCCCAUGGACUGCAGCACGCCAGGCUUUCCUGUCCAUUGUGAACAUCCAGAGCCUGCACAAACUCGUGUUCAUCGAGUCAGUGAAGCCAUCUAACCAUCUCAUCAUCUGUUAUCCUCUUCUCCUCUCGCCUUCAUCUUUCCCAGCAUCAGGAUAUUUCCAAUCAGUUAGUUCUUCACAUCAGGUGGCCACAGUAUUAGAGUUUCAGCUUCAGCAUCAGUCCUUCCAAUGAAUAUUCAGGACUGAUUUCCUUUAGGAUAGACUGGUUGGAUCUCCUUGCAGUCCAAGGGACUUUCAAGAGUCCUCUCCAACACCACAGUUCAAAAGCAUCAGUUAUUCACCACUCAGCUUUCUUUAUAUUCCAACUCUCACAUCUAUACAUGACUACUAGAAAAACCAUAGCCUUGACUAGACAGACCUUUGUUGGCAAAGUAAUGACUCUGCUUUUUAAUACACUGUUUAGGUUGGUCCUUUAGCUUUCCUUCCAAGGAGCAAGUGUCUUUUAAUUUCAUGUCUGCAGUCACCAUCUGCAGUGAUUUUGGAGCCCCCAAAAAUAAAGUCUGACACUAUUUCCACUGUUUCCCCAUCUAUUUCCCAUGAAGUGAUGGGACCAGAUGCCAUGAUCUUCGUUUUCUGAAUGUUGAGCUUUAAGCCAACU
rnacentral:lncRNA from 1 species